rnacentral:rRNA from 1 species
UACGAAGGGUGCAAGCGUUAAUCGGAAUUACUGGGCGUAAAGGGUGCGUAGGCGGUUGUCUAAGUCUGUCGUGAAAUCCCCGGGCUCAACCUGGGAAUGGCGAUGGAUACUGGACAGCUAGAGUGUGUCAGAGGAUGGUGGAAUUCCCGGUGUAGCGGUGAAAUGCGUAGAGAUCGGGAGGAACAUCAGUGGCGAAGGCGGCCAUCUGGGACAACACUGACGCUGAAGCACGAAAGCGUGGGGAGCAAACAGG